rnacentral:rRNA from 1 species
AGGGAAAGAGGGCGGUAGGCCUAACACAUGCAAGUCGAACGGCAGCACAGUAAGAGCUUGCUCUUACGGGUGGCGAGUGGCGGACGGGUGAGGAAUACAUCGGAAUCUACUUUUUCGUGGGGGAUAACGUAGGGAAACUUACGCUAAUACCGCAUACGACCUACGGGUGAAAGCAGGGGAUCUUCGGACCUUGCGCGAUUGAAUGAGCCGAUGUCGGAUUAGCUAGUUGGCGGGGUAAAGGCCCACCAAGGCGACGAUCCGUAGCUGGUCUGAGAGGAUGAUCAGCCACACUGGAACUGAGACACGGUCCAGACUCCUACGGGAGGCAGCAGUGGGGAAUAUUGGACAAUGGGCGCAAGCCUGAUCCAGCCAUACCGCGUGGGUGAAGAAGGCCUUCGGGUUGUAAAGCCCUUUUGUUGGGAAAGAAAAGCAGCAGGUUAAUACCCCGCUGUUCUGACGGUACCCAAAGAAUAAGCACCGGCUAACUUCGUG